rnacentral:rRNA from 1 species
CCUACGGGAGGCAGCAGUGAGGAAUAUUGGUCAAUGGACGCAAGUCUGAACCAGCCAUGCCGCGUGCAGGAAGACGGCCCUAUGAGUUGUAAACUGCUUUUGUACGAGGAUAAACGCAGAUACGCGUAUCUGUCUGAAAGUAACGUACGAAUAAGGAUCGGCUAACUCCGUGCCAGCAGCCGCGGUAAUACGGAGGAUUCGAGCGUUAUCCGGAUUUAUUGGGUUUAAAGGGUGCGUAGGUGGGCUGUUAAGUUAGAGGUGAAAUCUCGAGGCUCAACUUUGGAAUUGCCUCUGAUACUGGUCGCCUAGAGAGUAGUUGAGGUAGGCGGAAUUCAUGGUGUAGCGGUGAAAUGCUUAGAGAUCACGCAGAACACCGAUUGCGAAGGCAGCUUACCAAGCUACCUCUGACGUUGAUGCACGAAAGCGUGGGGAGCAAACAGGAUUAGAUACCCGAGUAGUC